GAUGUGAAAGUAUUGAGAAUUAUG
rnacentral:siRNA from 1 species